rnacentral:misc_RNA from 1 species
AAUCAUCAAACCUAACCGGUCUUGUUGCCGGCGCGGUUUGGACUUGGGGGUUCUUUGCUGCCGCUCGCGGUGGCUCCCCUUAAAUGUAUCGGUCGGGCUUUCGUGCGGCUCUGUCCCUUGGCGUUGUAUUACCCUCGUCGCUGGAUGGCUCGCGAUUCUGCGCCCCUCCCUGACCUGCCUCUGGAGUGGCGGUCUCUAACAUUUUGUG